rnacentral:lncRNA from 1 species
UGUCCGGGCGAGAGGAGCUCGCGAGGUCUGGCCGGAGCAGAUCGCCGUUUGCAGCUCGCAGGUAGACUGGAGCAGAUCGAGAGAGAGAGAGCUCGCAGCAGCUGCUGCUGCGCCGCUGUGACGAAAGAGUGCACAGCAGCAACGGCUCCCGGCUGCGGUUCUUCAGUGGACGAGCAGCAGAUGAGAUCAGCAGAACAGGCGGCGCGGCGAAGGGGAUCUGGGUGGCGUCGCUGCUCUCAAGCCGCGGUGAGGUUGCUCCGUGCGCGGAUGGCGGACUGACGGGAAGUCAACGCCGGGCUGGUGGCGCUCGAUUGAAAUUUUUGUGCAGAUUUGCUGGUAUGUUGUCGAGUGAAAGGAAACUUCAACUGGCGGGCAAGAGUAAUGAAAUCCGCAGAGAAGUUCCGAAGGCGAGAAUGAGGGCUUCGUAUCCCAAAUCUGGAAAGGGAAAUUUCGAGUAUCAAAAAUUUUCCAUCAGAUCAGAGAAUCGAGUUCAACGAUGAACAGUCAUC